rnacentral:tRNA from 1 species
GGGGCCGGUUGUGUAACUGGUGUUUGCCGAGGUCUUCAAAACCUUCAGGGAGGCGCGUGCCGUCUCCGGUGGGUUCGAUUCCCACACGGUCCCGCCA